GGGUUUGAUGCAUGUGCCCCAACCCUGCAAAGGUUGGUGAGGGGGGGUUACCCCCCCAAACCCU
rnacentral:tRNA from 1 species